rnacentral:Y_RNA from 1 species
GGCUGGUCUGGUGGUAGUGGGUUAUCAACUUACUAACAUUAGUGUCAAUAAAGUUGGUAUGCAACCCUCCACUGCUAAAUUUGGCUUAAA